GCGGUUUCCAGACGAGUUAUGAAAUUAGUUUUUUUAUUUGUGUCCGAAAACCUCUUCCGACAUCCGAUCAAACGUCCGAUGUGACACCCAAAAAAUUUUUUUUCGCCAACUAAACAAGGCCUAAGUUGCUUAAGAAUAUCAUACGAAUCCAUUUUUCAAAUCAAUAAUAAUUAAAACUCAAUUAAUCAUGGGCUAAUGUCCUUUUUUUAUAUAUUUUUUUUGCCCUAACUUCGAUCAAUCAAUCUUCAGUAGAAACCAGCACACCUUAACAAGAGUUUCUUUUUAGCCGUUGUUCAAUUUCCCUAUAAUUUCUGCAAAAUUCAUCAAAUCCAAAGAGACCUCAAAUUUUAAGGACGGCGGCGUUUGAUUCCCCCACCCUUCACCGUCGCUUACCACUCUCCUCUAGCCGCCGGCGCCUCCGCCGCGGCCGUGGCCGCCGUCGGUCACUUCCAUUGGCGACCACCCCUCGCGCAUGGUUUCUUCCGCCUCUACCGCCGCUCUCCUCCCCCUCCCCCGAACACUCUGACGACGCCCAAAGCGCCACCCGACUCACCUCCUCCGCUGCGGCGGCAGGUGGAGCGAGACUACGACGUGGACGGCACCGACGGCGGUGGUCCGGCGCGACGCGCGACGUGCUCCUCCCACAGCAUGCUCCUCGAUGAGCUCGCGUGCGCGGGCGGGGGAUGCGCACGAGGCGUUCGACGAAAUGCUCGCGUCGGACAACUUCAUGGUCAUGGUCAAGCUGCACGUACGGGUGGAUGUUGCAGUUCGACCUCGCCUCGCCUCGCCUGCAAGCUCAUCCUGGAGAUCGGGGGGGGGGGGGGGAGCACGGGUUGGAGGCCGGCAUUGCCAUGAACUCAAUGCUCAUCACGGGGUUUGCCGGCUGUGGCGCAUGCAGUGAAGGUCGCCGAGGCAUGGGGCAUCCUCAGACUGAAUGCUGAAUAAGUGAUGUACACUUGCACGUCCAGUGUUAAAUGCAUAUUGCCGCCAUGGCCGUGACGGAUCGGGCUAGUUGUCCUCCCAAUGUUAUCACCUACAACUCUGUUCAGAGCAGGUUUCAACAGUAGUAGAACCAGCGGUUGGAAGCACAGUAUGCUCGCCUACAAUACAUAUACCUUAAUGGCCUCUGCAAGAAAGGUAGUGCAAAGGAAGUACUUGAUCAGUUGGAUGUUAUGCUAAGUGAAAGGAUUGGAUCCCUCGGCUUUUACAUCGAGUGUUCUUCCGAAUUGCCUUCUCCAUGACUGAGGGUUUCAUAUGCCUUGUGCUUGUUAGCGAGGGUCUGCAACUCUGCAUACAACACUCUGAUGAGCGGGCUGUUAGAUAUGGGCAAAUGGCUGUUCUGAAGCUCUUGACCAAGUACAUGAUCGACAAAAGUAUCGUCCAAUCGCAAAGACAUUCAACAUUUUUAUUCAUAGUCUUUGGCUCUUUGCAUUAGGGAGAAAGUCUUCCAUAACCAAGAGCCUGGUCCAUGGUCAAGGUUUUACUAAUGUUGUGGCAUACAUUAUCCUCAUUGAUUGGCUUUGCUGCCUUAGAAAACUUAAUGAGUUGAAGUACCUAAUUUCGUGCACGACAGCGCAGGAUAUUGCUCCAGAAUCCAGAUGAAGUCACUCAGAUACAUUAUUGGUUGAUGAGAUUAUGCAGAGAUGGAAAAUUUGACAAGGAUACUUAUAUUUUUAUGAAAUCACUUAAAGUGGAUUUCCAAUGGAUCUUCUGGCUUGUUUAGAGUGGUGAAUAAUAUAGAGAUUCACCGUGUAUUUGAAGGAAAUGGUGUACUCUCUGAUUGCCAUAUGUUCGACUUUAUAAUCAAGUCAUUCUAUAGGGCUGGUUUUUGUCACAAACGAGACAUUUUUAAACUUAACCUUAUACUGGAUACAUUGCCAAACAAAUAACCUAAUACUUGUGGAUUGCCGAAGGUAGCAGGUUCAUGAUUGCAGAUUUGCUGGCAAGAUUACAACUUAUGUCUAGAUCGCAGUCAGUCAACGUUGUGAAAGAUUGACCACUAAUAUGCAUAAAGGUUGCCACUUUUCCAGCUGCUCAUGUCUUUCUAUGGAAAGAAGCAUCGAGUCCCAAAACCAAAGUGAUGUGUCAAUAUCAAGCAAGCCAUGGGAAUUCAGGUUAACCUUGCUUUAUUUCUUUAAGCUCCUCGCGCCGCCUCCCAGUUGCCCGCAUUGAUAAUCAUGGGCCUAUGGUCAGGUUGGAUUUGGACUCCCUGUUGGUUGUCCAUACCAAGCAUGGACCGCCAAUAGACUUAUGCCUGCUAUAAUAUUUUGUCCCCUAUAACAAAUUAGCAGCUGCCGAAAUUUACAGCAUAAUUUCAAACUUCUUGAACAGGUCGAUUUGCUACGUCCCACAUGAUGCCUGCACUUCAUCUUUUGGAUCUUCGGCGACUGCCUUGUUGUUGUCUAUCCAAAUACUUAUACAGUAUGCAACUUCUUCAAAAAGUGCAGCCAAGGUAAUUUUUCUGUCCCUAACACCACAAUAUUGCUACUCUUGUUUGCUGGACACCCUACCAAACGGAAAGUCAGAUUAUAUCUGGUGAUAUCGGAAAUUGGAGCCAUCUUUGACAUAGUUGCCCACAGUUUCUCUUUACAAGGAAAAGGAGUUGUUGUCUAAGGAUCCAGUACUGUUUGUGUAUUAGUAUAAAAAAUACAACUUCAGCGCUCGAGAUAUAGGAGUCAAAUCCGUACUCAAGAAUCUGAUAUCUCGAUGCUAAACGCAAAAUGAAAUUCUAAAUUUGAAAAAUGCCAAUAACCAAAAUAUUUUUUGUUUCAUAAGUUACAAUCUCGGUAUCUCCAUUCUCAAAUAGUUGAUGUCCUAAAGUAUGCAGUGAAACCUCGGUAUGUUUACCAACUAUUAAAUGAAAAAAAAGGACUACAGUAUGUAUAAAUGAUUUUAAUAGUUUUAUCAUGAAAAAUAGUUUCAUGUAGUUAUAUUUUAAUUUUUUUAAUAAAUAUAUAGUUAAAUGAAGUGAUGAUGAACAGGCACCGAAGAUUGUGUCAACAUCCAAAACACAAACUAACAAAGAUCAAAUGUAGUAAAUUUUAGGGUCACCUGAUUUUGAGGUCCAGGUUUGUCUCCCACUCCAAACAUGAUAUGGGCUUGAUAACCUGACAGUACACGGCUACAGCAUUGUUGAACCACAAUUGCUACAGUGUUCGCUAUAGGACUUAUCCACUACAAUUUGUUUGUGAACGGUGUUUUUUCCAGCUAUCUGAACUGCUUUUGCUUUUCUGUCCAACAAUCGUAGCGGUGGACACCAAAGUUCCCAGUUCUUGACUGGGGUACUGGCACGAGAGUUUAUUGGAGUCUUAACCAAGGUCUUAUCCCUUCUGUCAAAAAAAAAAAAUCCUACCAUAAACUUGGAUAAGUUCAGGGUGCAUUCAGAUGGAGGGGUUGUGAUCUUCCACGUGCAUGCAAAAUAGAGUGACUCAUUAAUAUAUGAUUAAUUAAUCUCAGAAAAAACUUGAAAAAAAAUAUUUAUAUGAUUUUUAAGAAACUUUUGUAUAGAUAUUUCUUUUUUUUUAAAAAAAAACCAUGUAGCGGUUCGGAAGAUGUGCUAACCGGAGUAAAAGAA